UACGGAGGGUGCAAGCGUUGUUCGGAAUUAUUGGGCGUAAAGCGCGCGCAGGCGGUCCUUUAAGUCUGAUGUGAAAGCCCACGGCUCAACCGUGGAGGGUCAUUGGAAACUGGGGGACUUGAGUACAGAAGAGGAGAGUGGAAUUCCACGUGUAGCGGUGAAAUGCGUAGAGAUGUGGAGGAACACCAGUGGCGAAGGCGACUCUCUGGUCUGUAACUGACGCUGAGGCGCGAAAGCGUGGGGAGCAAACAGG
rnacentral:rRNA from 1 species